AAAACUUGACUUUAAACACUUUUACAACUUAACCCACCACCCGUUAAUUCAUAUCUUAAAUAUUUUAUAAUUCCGGAAUAACGGAUAGAUCCCUGCUUUAUCGACGUAGCUGUACAAAGUUCAGUAAUUGUGCAGUAUGACAGUUGUAGUUCAUGAUAUUUCCAGUAGAUAGUGGUUUAUAUGUUGCCAGUAAAUGUCGCACGCGAACGUCUUGGUUAUGAUUACAGGUAAAUGAAAGACUUGUAUGUAAGAGUACACUUGUAUGCUAGAUUCUAGGUAAAGGUAAGUGAAAUAAUCUGAAGGAACGAAUAUUGAUUUUGAUAUGACGAUAUCUGAAUUAACAUUCAUAAUCUCCUCUGAGAUUACUAGAUCGUAUUUGACAGCUUUUAUGCGUUUUCGAAGUUCACGAGCUAUAGCAGAACAUUUUGUGGGUGUUUUUAUACGACGUCGUGUUGUUUGCUGUCAGCCGUGUUUAAGCUUAAUUAAUGUGCUUCGUGUGAAUCAGUCUGUUGUGGAUUACGGAUUGCAAGCAGAAAGGUGGCCAGUUGUCAACUGAUGUUUCGGUGUGAUGCACACAUGUGUGAAGAUUUUCACAGAUGCUGUGUAAACAUAUGCCACUGCAGGGGAAGUUGGUUUGUGGAAGAACUCGAAAUUUGAACUACAACGACAAAUGCAACAUUCCGUAUGAAUGACGCCAAGUGAUUCGAUUCAUCGCCAUUCGACCGCGAGAUCGACGCCGACAUAAGGAGUGAAGUUGUUACAGAUUCUUUUAUAUUUUCUUGCCACUGUAAUAACAGUGUUCAAUAGGAGUUGAUGCAGAGAGCUUUGCUGUGAAGUGCACAGGAAGAAGAUGGCGGCGGAACUUAACGGGAAGCUAGUCCCGGUGGAGUACCUCGGAUUCACCGCAAUGGACAAGAGGUUUUCCAGACCGAUGUUGCCGUGGGUCAUCGCAGAGAUCAAGAGGCGCGGUACUUCAGAGAAAGUAAGACUUACACAUAUGUUUGUAUAUUUAGUAGUUUUGGUUGUUAGUUUUCGACUGAGUGGUCUGACACAACGGUACCUCUCAUGUACCUGAUUAAAAUCUUGGUCCGUUGUUUCCUCGGUCUGUCGUGAUGGUACGUUGAAAUAAAUAUUGUAUUUCUUUUCUUACCCACAAACGUGCGCGGUGUUAUUAAAUAAUCAAAAAAACGAAUUUAAUUUUUUAACGAUGUUGUGCUUGGUCACGUGUUUUAACCGUGGAGUAAAUGCUAUAUAAACAUUAUUCCUUUUGUAAUAGGAGUCUGCAAGCUGGUCUGGCUGUAUCACUCAUAUUUAACGCUAUCAGCAUAUAUUAUGAUCCAGAUUUAUAUAAGAAUCGAGAAAUUUAUAAAAACUAAAAUAAGAAUGAAGUGAUAUGAUUCUUUACGAUACUUACAGGGAAUGAUCCGGUUGGUCAUGUCGAAACCUCACCUGAAAUUUUACUCGUCUACAGAGCCCAUCUAGUAUGAUUGUACACGUAUCUACGUAUAUAAUACGCAGGUGUUUUAUAUGGUGGUUU